AUGACAACGUAUACAUGUCUGAGCUAAGCGUAUGACUAUCUGACAACGUAUACUGAUCUGACAGAACACCGGCAAUAUCUUCUUUCAAAAAAGACAGUAGUUCGAGCGUCCGGGUUCAUCUGAGUCGGAGCGGUUAUGACACAUGGGUCUACCCAGGGUCGCAACUACAUAUUAUUCAGGUGGGUGCGAACAGAUAAAUUGGCGCCCCCCAAAGGAAGGUACGUGAAGGCAAAGGGGCACACACGCUACAUUUCUCAGGUGGAUGCAUACACAACAUAUGCUUGCUCUAACCCCCCUCACCCUUCCAGACGAAGGUAUGUGAAAGGUAAAACUCGCUACAUUUACCCUGUUAUGGGCGCGAAGUGAAGGAGCGUAAGGGCGCUUGAGUGUAUGCGAACACAUCAUCGGCGCGCUGCCCCCUCCAGACGGGGUUUUGACGCCCCCUCUGGUGCAGCGCCUCUAUGCGUUGCAUGCGCUGCAUGCUCACUUUUUGCGCCACUGGGUCUACCGGCAAAGAAACCGAGGCCUGUGAGCAUGACUUUAGCUGCGUCUGAAUAGUACGAGAUUUUCCCUUUCCUGACAUUGCCACGUAGUGCCAAAAUAUAUACACAGGACCAGAGUUAAACUAAGUAGAUAACAAAGACUUGGUUUACAAGGGAAAGCACAGUUGAAUAAGAAUUUUAAAUGAAAUUGGCAGGAGCUACCACCACCCAUGUUCUACUCCAUUGACCGCUCUCAAAUAAAUCUUUUAAACAAGGCCAUGGGUGGCGCAGGUCUUCUGGAUGACUACCCUUGAUGGACUUCAUUUUGGCCUUGCUAUUCUUGAGGGAGGGCCUAAUGGUACUUUACCACUUUGCAGUGGUUCAGUGGACCAAUUCCUCUCUCUCCAUUGAUUACUUUCAAACUAGCAAACAAAUCAAAAAAGCACAAUGCGACUUGAAUGUAAAGUGUACCGCAAUGCUUUAUAGAAAUGUAGUUACUGUAGAAUCUUGGCGUAAAAGUCAUAAGUACCUAUGAUUAAAUCUACUUACAGAUACAUUAAAAAUUUACUUAAGUAAGUACAAGUACUUUGUUACAACCCACCACGGGAGACAUAUAGCAUAUUAAGAAAUUGAGCUCCUCCCUGAGCUACUAUUGCCGUCUGAAGAAAUACACCAAAAACAUCAAAUCAGAGCCAGGAAGGAGGGUCUUAAUAAGGACAAUCAUUGUAAUGAACAUGCUGCUAAAUGUGCUAAUGGCAGAGGAACAAUUCAUUACAGGAAAACCGUUUAUAUAACGUUAUUGGAUGCCAUGCUAAUGUAACCAGGAUAAUUUUUCUGUUAGAUUCAGUUUUUAUUUUUCUAUUUUGUUAGAUCUAAUUUUAUUUAUUUUUAUUUAAAGAUUUAAUUAAAAUCCUCCUUUCCUUAAUUUAUUUAACACAAACCAAGCGAGAACAUUCUUCUCGCGAUGUUUCAACGUCAUGUGACAGCUGCACGUCAGCGUCCUAAAUUGACAGCUACGGCUUUUAUUGCUGCUGAAUCGCACCUUAGGUAGGAGACGCUGUCGGACUCUGACGUGCAGACGUGAACAUUCGGCUAAACGUUGAAACGAUCACGGUUUGUCAAGAGGGAACUGGUGAGUGUUUGUUGGGGAGCUAGCAUGCUAGCACUAGCCUCCCCAGCUGUUAAGUAGGUGACGCCAAUCUAAAGCACAUUCAAAUUGAAAUGCUUAUUGAAACUAUUGUUGUGAAAAGAGUAACUUGAAUUUGCAUAAGUUGCAUUUAAUUAUGUAAACUCCUGUAAUUAGAAAAUACAUUUACAUGUUGAUUGAUUAUUUAGGCCUGUUUACACAGGCCAGGUGUUUUGCAGAUCCCCCCCCCCUCCGCUCAAGGAGUGGCUGAAGGGUUUAAGAUGCAUCACGGAUUGUCUGGCUUCAUGCUGACCAGACUGGCGAGCUAACCGUAUUAGCGGAUCCGGAGAUACAACACUUAUCUGUGAAAACUUCCGAACUGGUUGGAGAUUCGGCCCAACAGUCUUCAUUGACGGAACUGGAUAUUUUUUGUUUUUCCUUUCAUCAUCAACAAAGACUGAUUGACUUUCUUGGAUUAAGGAACCCUUUUGAACUCCAAAUUGUGGACUAAUUUGUAUAUAUUGUAAAUAUCAAUACAACUCACGGAUUUUGCACCAUCUACUUGUCUCUGUGUUUUUACAAUUUGCCACCUCCUCCAGCAGACGAACCUAGUUUUUAAGAAAUCACUUGGAUUGACUUUAAUUUGGAUUAUUUCAAAUUCUAAUAAUCCUAGAAUGUAACUCGGGUUACACUAACCAGCCUUAGCAUUCACAACAGGCUCUGCUGAUGACUGUAGCUUAGCUGAGUGCAAGGGAGGGAGACAGGGAGAAUGGACAGGUGAGAGCACACACAGGCAUGACUGUGAGAGCCAAGGCUCCCCCCUUGGCUCUGAUUGGUUGUUUUUAUACAGCACUAGGAGAAGGUGGAAAAGCUUGUUUUUGUUUUUGUUUUUUUUUCACAGAUUAUCUGUCUCAAUACUGUCAUAACAUGGUAAUACAAACCCUGGUGCAGAAGCUCUCCUCUCUUGGACUGAGUCCCACACUGGGGAACUGGAUUCUGGACUUCCUGACCGACAGACCUCAGGCUGUCAGGAUCCACAACACCGUCUCCUCCUCCAUCACCCUUAGCACUGGCUUGACGCAGGCAGCAUGCUCAGCCUCUCCUAUCUGUCUGUCACACUGUGUAACAGCACCUUUACUGUUGGACUGAGUGACAUUAUCGAUCUGAAAAGAUUAUUAAAGAUGCCAGUAGGUCUUUAUUCUAAAAU